AUGCCAUGUUGAGGAAACUUCUGGAGUAAUCCUUUGAAUCUUUCCCAACCCUCGUACAAGGAUUCACUUUCUUUUUUAUUUGAAAGCAGUGAUUUCUGAUUUGAGCCU